GACGAACGCUGGCGGCGUGCUUAACACAUGCAAGUCGAACGGAAAGGCCCCUUUGGGGGUCCUCGAGUGGCGAACGGGUGAGUAACACGUGAGUAACCUGCCCUUGACUUCGGGAUAACUUCAGGAAACUGGGGCUAAUACCGGAUAGGAAUCCUUGCUGCAUGGUGGGGGUUGGAAAGCUUCGGCGGUUUUGGAUGGACUCGCGGCUUAUCAGCUUGUUGGUGGGGUAGUGGCUUACCAAGGCUUUGACGGGUAGCCGGCCUGAGAGGGCGACCGGCCACAUUGGGACUGAGAUACGGCCCAGACUCCUACGGGAGGCAGCAGUGGGGAAUAUUGCACGAUGGGCGGAAGCCUGAUGCAGCAACGCCGCGGGCGGGAUGACGGCCUUAGGGUUGUAAACCGCUUUCAGCAGGGGCGAAGCUUGUGGUGACGGUACCUGCAGAAGAAGCACCGGCUAACUACGUG
rnacentral:rRNA from 1 species